GGACUACUCGGGUAUCUAAUCCUGUUUGCUCCCCACGCUUUCGCGCCUUAGCGUCAGUAAUGAGCCAGAAAGCCGCCUUCGCCACUGGUGUUCUUACGAAUAUCUACGAAUUUCACCUCUACACUCGUAAUUCCACUUUCCUCUCUCAUCCUCUAGCUUUGCAGUCUCAAAUGCAGUUCCCAGGUUAAGCCCGGGGAUUUCACAUCUGACUUACAGAACCGCCUACACGCCCUUUACGCCCAGUAAUUCCGAACAACGCUAGCUCCCUUCGUAUUACCGCGGCUGCUGGCAC
rnacentral:rRNA from 1 species